rnacentral:rRNA from 1 species
UACAGAGGUCUCAAGCGUUGUUCGGAUUCAUUGGGCGUAAAGGGUGCGUAGGUGGCGGGGCCAGUCAGGUGUGAAAUCCCGGGGCUUAACCCUGGAACUGCAUUUGAUACUGCCUUGCUGGAGAACUGGAGAGGAGACUGGAAUUUACGGUGUAGCGGUGAAAUGCGUAGAUAUCAGGAAGAACACCAAUGGCGAAAGCAGCUCUCUGGGACGGUACUGACGCUGAGACGCGAAAGCGUGGGGAGCGAACAGG